rnacentral:rRNA from 1 species
CGAGAAAAAUCUUUAUGUUUAGUAUAAUUAAAGAAAAACUUUUAUUGUUAUAGUGAAUUAGUACUGUGAAGGAAUUGAUGAAAUAAUUUAAAAUUUAUUUUUUUAUAAGUAUGAUUAAUUUUCAGUACCUUUUGUAUCAGGGUUAAUCAAUUAAAUUAACUUAUUUUUUUAUCUCGAUUUCAAAAGAGCUAACUUGUUAUUUUAGUUAAUGUUGAAUAAUUAUUAAUAAUAUGAGUUAGAGGAGAAAUUUUAUUCGAUUUUGAGGGUAUCUAGUUUUUUAGGAAAUAAAUUUAAUUUAAUUUCAUUAUUUAAUUUUUAUAUUAUUAUAUAAAUUAUUUAUUGAAAUAAAAAUUGUAGGGGAUAAGCUCUAUAUUUUUCUAUAAAAUUUUUAAUUAAUUAAUUUUUGUAGGGUUAAAAUUAUCCAUCAUUAGAGAGUGUGUUAUAAUUUAUAUUUAUUAUUAAUUAAUUUUAUUUUUUUUAGAAUUUUAUUAAAAUAUUGAAGUAAAUUUUUUACUUUAAUUAAUAAUGAUUAAAUUAGUAUAAAAUAUUGUUUAUUAUAUUAUAAACAUCUAUGAUAAAAUAAGGAACUCGGCAAAUAUAGUUCUCGCCUGUUUACCAAAAACAUGGCCUUUUGAAUUUAAUAUAAGGUCUGACCUGCCCAGUGAUAGUUUUAACGGCCGCGGUAUACUGACCGUGCAAAGGUAGCAUAAUCAUUAGUCUUUUAAUAGAGGGCUGGAAUGAAAGGUUUCACGAGGAACUGACUGUCUCAUUUUAUUUGUUUUAAAAUUUAAUUUUUUAGUUAAAAAGCUAAAAUUUUAUUGGUAGACGAGAAGACCCUAUAGAGCUUUACAUAUAAUUAAAUAAAUAUUUUUAUAUUAAUAUUUUUAUUUAUUUUUGUGUUUUGUUGGGGUGACAAAAAUAUAUAGCUAACUUUUUUAUUUACUUUACAUUGAUUUAUGAAUAUUAGAUCCAAUACUAUUGAUUAUUAGACUAAGUUACCUUAGGGAUAACAGCGUAAUCCUCCUCCAGAGUUCAUAUUUACAGGAUGGGCUUGCGACCUCGAUGUUGGAUUAAGAUAAUAAUUAGGUGUAGCCGCUUAAUUGAUAGGUCUGUUCGACCUUUAAAUUCUUACAUGAUCUGAGUUCAGACCGGUUUAAGCCAGGUCGGUUUCUAUCUCCAAUUUUAAUUAGUUUUUAGUACGAAAGGACCAAAACUGUGAAAUAAUUUUUAUUUGUUGAUUAAUAUUAACUAUUUUGGCAGAGAAGUGCCAUGAAUUUAGAAUU